rnacentral:misc_RNA from 1 species
GAUGAAGAACGUAGCGAAAUGCGAUAAGUAAUGUGAAUUGCAGAAUUCAGUGAAUCAUCGAAUCUUUGAACGCACAUUGCGCCCUCCGGCAUUCCGGGGGGCAUGCCUGCCCGAGCGUCACGAAAACCCCAUCACACUCGUUGUGGUCAUGGCUGCAGUGAGUCGUCUCCAGCGGAGAGGGUCACGCCGCUGAAAGGAAUGGUGCGGAUGAGUUCCGAUGGCCGAACGUAGUACUUGACAACCGUCGGCCGAUGGGACCCUCCAUCUCGCCCUGACGACGUACCCCCGUCGUACCCCCGAUCAGGUGGACCUCGGAUCAGGUAGGGAUACCCGCUGAACUUAAGCAUAUCAAUAAGCGGAGGA